AAUAAACAAACCGCAUUUUCUUGGUGUGGCACGAAAUAACUUUACACCGUCCUGUAUCAUCCUCUCGCGAGACUUCAUCGAGAAGCGCAAAAUAGGAGUUCAAGGAGCGGCAAUGUUUAGAGAGACUGGUUAAGUGUAAUGAAAUGCACAACUUACGUCCAAGAUUGACUCUAAUUCUUCACAUAAACCAUGUUCUCUUUCCCAAAAAUCUUGGUUUCGCUAGGAGUGCAGUAAAGGGAACGUUGGAAGAAGUGUAGAUAUCAUGGCCACAGGCCAGUGGGCCAGAACCUUGAAGCCUGGCAAGGAUUAUGAGACUGGAAACUCCCAUUGAGACUACCAAAUGAAGAGAAAGUUUCAGACUGUUUAACUCGGACUAAGGGAAAAGAAGCAAAUUACAACAAGGAGAAUAUUGCCGAGAAAGCAAAGACAAGUGAAAAGUUGAGUGAAGAAAAAGCAAACAAGGCUUCACGAUCUGCAACUAGGCCACUGGCGAUGAAGAAGAAAAAUGUACAUCUAAAGAAGAUACAUCAGUGAUCAACUAAAGCUGAGCGACUUAUAUUGGAUUGACGAGGUGCAGGGGGGAUAUUAAUUUGGGUCUGUUUAUCUUUCUGUUUGUCAAUCUGUCUGUCUGUAACACUUCGUUCUCUUAACAUUUCCAAAAAGCCAUCAGAUAUUGCAAUGACAUUUUAUAUUAUAAAUAUUUGACGAUCCCACUGCAGAACAUGAUUAAUCAUCAAUACAAAUUUAAUAUUGUUUAUAAAUUAAAUAUUACCCAUAUAUAUUUUGAAAUGAAAUGGUCAGAGGUCAAGGCCUCUUUCGGGGGCACAUAUUGUUUUUGCCUGUCUGUUUAUCUGUCUAUUGCCAAUUUACCUUUUGCCAUAACUUUUGAAUUAUGAGAGAUAUAGAUACUUCAUAUUGGGUAUGCUUACUCCACUUUCAAAUGAGACCAAGACCAAUGACCUUGACUGUCAUCGUUAUGCUAAAAUAAAGCCUUAUUGAAUCUUUUACUUUUGAACCAUAAAAGGUAGAUAUUUUAUAUUGAGUAUCCAUACUCCACUAAUUAAGUUCUUUCAAAUUACAUCAAGGUUAAUGACCUUGUGACUUUGACCUAUAUGUUUUUGUUUUUGUUAUAUGUUUUUUCUUUUUCAAACUUUGUUGCCACCAGGUGCAUACUGUUUUUGUUUUUUUUUAUGGGGGGGGGGGUGUUAUGAAUUAGUUCUGUUUGGUAUCUGAAUCUUUUAUUGUACAGAAUUCUUCAGAAGUGACGAACUCUGAGGGCCUCACCCCUACUCUCUACACUAGGUUGUUGAUUUAAAUAUUUUUUUAUUAUUAUUAAUAUUUGUCAUUGUACAUGUAUAUCAUAAAUAUUCUAUGAGAGCUGCUUCAGAAUGUAUCAACAUAGUUUGAAAAUAAGACGAUCUGUUUCCCCCUUGUGUGUAAAUCAUGAUGUUGAAUCAUAACUGCACUAUAAUGUUACAGCAGUAAAAUUGUAAAGAAUUUGUUGUAUCAGAUACCAUCAGCAUUCUUUAAAAAUUAUUUUAUGUAUUAUUUUUUCUGUGUGGCCAUGAAUUUUUAUAAUGCAUACAUUCAUUAAAUUUUUUUCAGAGAUCUUAUAAUUCUGCUUUGUUGCUAUGUAUGAUUUUUUUAAAAAAAAAAGAUGUCCUAGGAGGCUAGGAUAUCCUAGGAAAUCCUAGGAAUUCCUGAUUUCCUAGGACAUUUUAAGUGUUGGGAUUUUCCUGGGAUAUCCUGGGAAGUCUUGGUGUUUUGAUUCCUGGGAUUUUUCUAGAACCCCUGAAUUGGGACUGUCCAAGGAAAUCCCAGGAAUUCCUGUUCCAAAAACAUCUCAGGAAAUCUUAGGAAUAAUCCUAGGAUUUUUUCAAGAUAUCCGAGGAAUAAAUCUUAAGAUUGUCUUAGGAUUUCUUAGGACAUCUCAGGAAUAUUCUGCAAGGGUC